rnacentral:tRNA from 1 species
GGGGAUUUAGCUCAGUGGUAGAGCGCUUGCCUAGGAAGCGCAAGGCCCUGGGUUCGGUCCCCAGCUCUGGAAAGGACUGGGGUUCAAUUCCCA